CAAUAGCGUAUAUUAAAGUUGUUGCAGUUAAAAAGCUCGUAGUUGGAUUUCUGAUCGAGACAUCAGGUCGGGUCCGAGAGGAUCAUGUACUUUGAUUUUGUUUUGAUCAUCCUUGGGGAGAGCAUUUCUGGCAUUCAGUUGUCGGGAUUGGGAUCCUCAUCGUUUACUGUGAAAAAAUUAGAGUGUUCAAAGCAGGCCUCGGCCUCUGAAUACAUUAGCAUGGGAUAAUAAGAUAGGACUUUGGUGGUCUAUUUUGUUGGUUUGCACGCCAAAGUAAUGAUUAAUAGGGAUAGUUGGGGGUAUUCGUAUUCAAUUGUCAGAGGUGAAAUUCUUGGAUUUAUGGAAGACGAACUACUGCGAAAGCAUUUACCAAGGAUGUUUUCAUUAA
rnacentral:rRNA from 1 species